AGUGAAAUGCUUUUUCUCUCAAGGACAAGCUGUGAUGGGGAGCGAAAUUUAGUAGCGAAGUUCCUGAUGUCACACUGUCAAGAAAAGCUUCUAGUGAGAAAGUAACUGCCCGUACCGCAAACCGACACAGGUAGUUGAGGAGAGAAUCCUAAGGUGUGCGAGAGAACUCUCGUUAAGGAACUCGGCAAAAUGACCCCGUAACUUCGGGAGAAGGGGUGCUGACCGCAAGGUCAGCCGCAGUGAAUAGGCCCAAGCGACUGUUUAUCAAAAACACAGGUCUCUGCAAAAUCGAAAGAUGACGUAUAGGGGCUGACGCCUGCCCGGUGCUGGAAGGUUAAGAGGAGAGGUUAGCGCAAGCGAAGCUUUGAAUUGAAGCCCCAGUAAACGGCGGCCGUAACUAUAACGGUCCUAAGGUAGCGAAAUUCCUUGUCGGGUAAGUUCCGACCCGCACGAAAGGCGUAACGAUUUGGGCACUGUCUCAACGAGAGACUCGGUGAAAUUAUAGUACCAGUGAAGAUGCUGGUUACCCGCGACAGGACGGAAAGACCCCAUGGAGCUUUACUGCAGUUUGAUAUUGCGUGUUUGUAUCACAUGUACAGGAUAGGUAGGAGCCGAAGAUACCGGGACGCCAGUCUCGGAGGAGGCAACGGUGGGAUACUACCCUUGUGAUAUGACCACUCUAACCCGCUGCUCUUAGCGAGCAGGGAGACAGUGUCAGACGGGCAGUUUGACUGGGGCGGUCGCCUCCAAAAAUGUAACGGAGGCGCCCAAAGGUUCCCUCAGAAUGGUUGGAAAUCAUUCGUAGAGUGUAAAGGCAGAAGGGAGCUUGACUGCGAGACCUACAAGUCGAGCAGGGACGAAAGUCGGGCUUAGUGAUCCGGUGGUUCCGCAUGGAAGGGCCAUCGCUCAACGGAUAAAAGCUACCCUGGGGAUAACAGGCUUAUCUCCCCCAAGAGUUCACAUCGACGGGGAGGUUUGGCACCUCGAUGUCGGCUCAUCGCAUCCUGGGGCUGUAGUCGGUCCCAAGGGUUGGGCUGUUCGCCCAUUAAAGCGGUACGCGAGCUGGGUUCAGAACGUCGUGAGACAGUUCGGUCCCUAUCCGUCGCGGGCGUUGGAAAUUUGAGAGGAGCUGUCCUUAGUACGAGAGGACCGGGAUGGACACACCGCUGGUGUACCAGUUGUUCUGCCAAGAGCAUCGCUGGGUAGCUAUGUGUGGACGGGAUAAACGCUGAAAGCAUCUAAGCGCGAAGCCCCCCUCAAGAUGAGAUUUCCCAUCACUUUAAGUGAGUAAGACCCCUGAGAGGUGAUCAGGUAGAUAGGUUGGGAGUGGAAGUACAGCGAUGUAUGGAGCGGACCAAUACUAAUCGGUCGAGGACUUAACC
rnacentral:rRNA from 1 species